GACGAACGCUGGCGGCGUGCUUAACACAUGCAAGUCGAACGGAAAGGCCCUGCUUUUGUGGGGUGCUCGAGUGGCGAACGGGUGAGUAACACGUGAGUAACCUGCCCUUGACUUUGGGAUAACUUCAGGAAACUGGGGCUAAUACCGGAUAGGAGCUCCUGCUGCAUGGUGGGGGUUGGAAAGUUUCGGCGGUUGGGGAUGGACUCGCGGCUUAUCAGCUUGUUGGGGGGGUAGUGGCUUACCAAGGCUUUGACGGGUAGCCGGCCUGAGAGGGUGACCGGCCACAUUGGGACUGAGAUACGGCCCAGACUCCUACGGGAGGCAGCAGUGGGGAAGAUUGCACAAUGGGCGGAAGCCUGAUGCAGCAACGCCGCGUGCGGGAUGACGGCCUUCGGGUUGUAAACCGCUUUCGCCUGUGACGAAGCGUGAGUGACGGUAAUGGGUAAAGAAGCACCGGCUAACUACGUG
rnacentral:rRNA from 1 species